rnacentral:rRNA from 1 species
CCUACGGGAGGCUGCAGUGGGGAAUAUUGCACAAUGGGGGAAACCCUGAUGCAGCGACGCCGCGUGAGUGAAGAAGUAUUUCGGUACGUAAAGCUCUAUCAGCAGGGAAGAAAAUGACGGUACCUGACUAAGAAGCCCCGGCUAACUACGUGCCAGCAGCCGCGGUAAUACGUAGGGGGCAAGCGUUAUCCGGAUUUACUGGGUGUAAAGGGAGCGUAGACGGCAGCGCAAGUCUGGAGUGAAAUGCCAUGGCUUAACCAUGGAACUGCUUUGGAAACUGUGCAGCUAGAGUGCAGGAGAGGUAAGCGGAAUUCCUAGUGUAGCGGUGAAAUGCGUAGAUAUUAGGAGGAACACCAGUGGCGAAGGCGGCUUACUGGACUGUAACUGACGUUGAGGCUCGAAAGCGUGGGGAGCAAACAGGAUUAGAUACCCCAGUAGUC